rnacentral:rRNA from 1 species
CGCGUGGGAACAUACCCUUCGGUUCGGAAUAGCUCAGGGAAACUUGGAUUAAUACCGGAUACGUCCGCGAGGAGAAAGAUUCAUCGCCGAAGGAUUGGCCCGCGUCUGAUUAGCUAGUUGGUGAGGUAACGGCUCACCAAGGCGACGAUCAGUAGCUGGUCUGAGAGGAUGAUCAGCCACACUGGGACUGAGACACGGCCCAGACUCCUACGGGAGGCAGCAGUGGGGAAUAUUGCACAAUGGGCGAAAGCCUGAUGCAGCCAUGCCGCGUGUGUGAAGAAGGCCUCGGUUGUAAGCACU